GAUCCCAGCACUGACAGACAAAGCCUGUGGGUUGUUGGUGCAACCGGGCAAGGUGCGUGUGGGCCAAGUGUAUGAAUGGACGCGUGAGUGGGCGUGCAAGGUGAGCCAGUGCUCCCCCACCCCUCCCCCAUCUGCACCUUGAUAUUUGACUGGGUCAUGACUCUAGCCCCACCAGGCUGCCCCAAAAGGAAAAGCUCCCCUCCGCAGAUCCCCCUUCUCAGGGAUGCUGUUCAGUGAGGCCCUGAGGGUGCCGGCUUGUGGACGCCUCUCCUGAGGUCCCAGAGCUGGUCCUGUGGGCACAGUGCCCGGAAGUGAUGAAUUGAUCAGAUAGAGAAGGCUGGGCCUGCCUUACUGAAGUGAUUCUGAUCCGA
ensembl:scaRNA